rnacentral:rRNA from 1 species
AUUGAACGCUAGCGGCAUGCUUUACACAUGCAAGUCGAACGAGUGGCGGACGGGUGAGUAAUAUAUCGGAACGUGCCCAGUAGCGGGGGAUAACUACUGGAAAGAGUGGCUAAUACCGCAUACUAUUGGAGCUGCCGAUAUGGGAUUAGCUAGUGGGUGGGGUAAAGGCUCACCAAGGCAACGAUCCCUAGCUGGUUUGAGAGGAAGACCAGCCACACUGGGACUGAGACACGGCCCAGACUCCUACGGGAGGCAGCAGUGGGGAAUUUUGGACAAUGGGGGAAAGCCUGAUCCAGCCAUCCCGCGUGUAUGAGAAGGCCUUCGGGUUGUAAAGUACUUUUGGCGGAGAAGCGGUAUCUGCAGAAGAAGCACCGGCUAACUACGUGCCAGCCGCCGCGGUAAUAC